CCAGACUCCUACGGGAGGCAGCAGUGAGGAAUAUUGGUCAAUGGGCGAGAGCCUGAACCAGCCAAGUCGCGUGAAGGAUGACGGCCCUACGGGUUGUAAACUUCUUUUGUCAGGGAGCAAUUGGGUCCACGUGUGGUCUUAGCGAGAGUACCUGAAGAAAAAGCAUCGGCUAACUACGUGCCAGCAGCCGCGGUAAUACGUAGGGGGCGAGCGUUAUCCGGAAUUACUGGGUGUAAAGGGAGCGUAGACGGCGAGGUAAGCCUGAAGUGGAAGCCCGCGGCCCAACCGCGGAACUGCUUUGGGAACUGUUUUGCUGGAGUAUGGGAGGGGUAAGCGGAAUUCCUGGUGUAGCGGUGAAAUGCGUAGAUAUCAGGAGGAACACCGGUGGCGAAGGCGGCUUACUGGACCAUAACUGACGUUGAGGCUCGAAAGCGUGGGGAGCGAACAGGAUUAGAUACCCGCGUA
rnacentral:rRNA from 1 species